AAGGAGCACCAUUUCCCAGCCGAAUGAGCUUGGGAACAUAAAGCGAGUUUCUGUAGUGGUUACUCGCUUGGUGAAUAUGUUUUAUAAAUCCUGUCCACCCCGUGGAUAGGUAGUCGGCAAAACGUCGGACUGUCAAUAGAAUUGAAACGCUGGCACACUGUUGGGUCCUGAGGCAACACAUUGUGUUGUCACCCUGCUUGGUGGUGGGGUGUGGUCUUUGACUUAUGGAUAGUGGUUGCGAGCAUC
rnacentral:misc_RNA from 1 species